rfam:Kouleothrix aurantiaca strain COM-B contig_38, whole genome shotgun sequence.
GUCAGUCACCACCCCGUAAAUGAGGUGGCUUGAUCUUCGGGUCUAGCCCGGACUGACCAGGAUCCAGGGCGGGCAACCGCCCUCCGCCCGGAAGGUCAUGAUACGUCGGGCUGCGACAGCGCCAGGCCCGACCGCUAUCGCUCGUGAGAACGUCGUCCUGGGGCAAGGGACGCAUCUGGCGAGCACGACAAGCCUUCCGCGCAUGGUCGAGGCGCACAUUAC